rnacentral:rRNA from 1 species
UACGUAGGUGGCAAGCGUUGUCCGGAUUUACUGGGCGUAAAGAGCGCGCAGGCGGUCGAAUAAGUCGAAUGUGAAAGCCCCCGGCUCAACUGGGGAGGGUCAUUCGAUACUGUUCGACUUGAAGGCAGGAGAGAGAAGCAGAAUUCCCGGUGUAGUGGUGAAAUGCGUAGAUAUCUGGAGGAACACCGGUGGCGAAAGCGGCGCACUGGACCACAACUGACGCUGAGGCGCGAAAGCUAGGGGAGCAAACAGG